GAGAUUUCACAAAUCAGAUCCAAAUAUGAAAUAACCAGUCAAACAGAAAUUACUCUCACGCGAAACACUUGCUUCCUUCCAGUUAUCAAUCAUGGCGACUUUCCUCUCAUCGUUCAAGUACUCCGACAGCCUCUCGGUGGUCGGAAUCUCCAUCUGCACCGCCGUCGUUUGCGAGGCCAUCUCAUGGAUUCUCAUCUACCGGACCAACUCCUACAAAUCUCUCAAAUCCUCCAUCGACAAAGCCUCCAAGAAGCUCGAAACUAUGAAAACCGAUCCUAACAAGAUAAUCACCAAGAAGUCCAAGACCAAGAAGAUCGACCGCGUUGAGACCAGCCUCAAGGAUGCCAGCCGCGACCUCUCCUUGUUCAAGUUUAAGUCCGGUGCCGUCGUUGCUGUUGUUCUCUUCAUUGUCUUCGGGCUCCUGAACUCGCUUUUCGAGGGAAAAACAGUGGCCAAGCUUCCGUUUAAGCCAUUUGGAAUUGUUAUGAAGAUGAGCCAUAGGGGAUUGCCAGGCGACGAUGCAACGGAUUGUUCCAUGGCGUUCUUGUAUUUACUGUGUUCCGUCAGUAUCCGCACCAAUCUACAGAAGUUUCUCGGCUUCUCACCCCCAAGGAGCGCAGCCGGUGCCGGACUGUUCCCAAUGCCGGAUCCGAAGACAAAUUGAUCAGAAGGCUGGCAGUAAUAUAUGGUGCAUGACAUUUAGAGCAACGGUUUUUAUGUUCAGAUUACCUUAAUUCCCCUGAGAACAUAUACCCUUAAGAGACACAGUGGACCCUUGUAGAGCUGGGUUUGGAGUUUCCUUUUCUUCUCCACUGGGUUAUCCUUUGAGCUAUGGAGCUUAACUUGCUUGCAGCUUGGAUUUAUAUUAAAUUGUUUGAGUCCUCUUUGUGGGGAAUGGGGAAAAAUUAAGAAUAGAACUAAAGGAGAAGAGCAUGUUUGCACUACUGUCUUGUUUCUUGCCUGGCAAACUUCAUUUUCUUUUUUGAAAAGACUUGUGCUUUUAAAAGCUGUAGUUUUCAUUACAGAAUGCAGUAGCAUGUCCUCUUAUUAUAGCAAACGUUUUCGUUACCUCCGGA